rnacentral:rRNA from 1 species
GGCGGCGUGCUUAACACAUGCAAGUCGAACGGAAAGGCCCUUCGGGGUACUCGAGUGGCGAACGGGUGAGUAACACGUGGGUGAUCUGCCCUGCACUCUGGGAUAAGCCUGGGAAACUGGGUCUAAUACCGGAUAGGACCACACACUUCAUGGUGAGUGGUGCAAAGCUUUUGCGGUGUGGGAUGAGCCCGCGGCCUAUCAGCUUGUUGGUGGGGUAAUGGCCCACCAAGGCGACGACGGGUAGCCGGCCUGAGAGGGUGACCGGCCACACUGGGACUGAGAUACGGCCCAGACUCCUACGGGAGGCAGCAGUGGGGAAUAUUGCACAAUGGGCGCAAGCCUGAUGCAGCGACGCCGCGUGAGGGAUGACGGCCUUCGGGUUGUAAACCUCUUUCAGUAGGGACGAAGCGAAAGUGACGGUACCUACAGAAGAAGGACCGGCCAACUACGUGCCAGCAGCCGCGGUAAUACGUAGGGUCCGAGCGUUGUCCGGAAUUACUGGGCGUAAAGAGCUCGUAGGUGGUUUGUCGCGUUGUUCGUGAAAACUCACAGCUUAACUGUGGGCGUGCGGGCGAUACGGGCAGACUAGAGUACUGCAGGGGAGACUGGAAUUCCUGGUGUAGCGGUGGAAUGCGCAGAUAUCAGGAGGAACACCGGUGGCGAAGGCGGGUCUCUGGGCAGUAACUGACGCUGAGGAGCGAAAGCGUGGGUAGCGAACAGGAUUAGAUACCCUGGUAGUCCACGCCGUAAACGGUGGGUACUAGGUGUGGGUUUCCUUCCUUGGGAUCCGUGCCGUAGCUAACGCAUUAAGUACCCCGCCUGGGGAGUACGGUCGCAAGACUAAAACUCAAAGGAAUUGACGGGGGCCCGCACAAGCGGCGGAGCAUGUGGAUUAAUUCGAUGCAACGCGAAGAACCUUACCUGGGUUUGACAUGCACAGGACGUACCUAGAGAUAGGUAUUCCCUUGUGGCCUGUGUGCAGGUGGUGCAUGGCUGUCGUCAGCUCGUGUCGUGAGAUGUUGGGUUAAGUCCCGCAACGAGCGCAACCCUUGUCCUAUGUUGCCAGCGGGUAAUGCCGGGGACUCGUAGGAGACUGCCGGGGUCAACUCGGAGGAAGGUGGGGAUGACGUCAAGUCAUCAUGCCCCUUAUGUCCAGGGCUUCACACAUGCUACAAUGGCCAGUACAGAGGGCUGCGAAGCCGUAAGGUGGAGCGAAUCCCUUAAAGCUGGUCUCAGUUCGGAUUGGGGUCUGCAACUCGACCCCAUGAAGUCGGAGUCGCUAGUAAUCGCAGAUCAGCAACGCUGCGGUGAAUACGUUCCCGGGCCUUGUACACACCGCCCGUCACGUCAUGAAAGUCGGUAACACCCGAAGCCAGUGGCCUAACCUUUUGGAGGGAGCUGUCGAAGGUGGGAUCGGCGAUUGGGACGAAGUCGUAAC